rnacentral:rRNA from 1 species
AUUGAACGCUGGCGGCAGGCCUAACACAUGCAAGUCGAGCGGAUGACGGGAGCUUGCUCCUUGAUUCAGCGGCGGACGGGUGAGUAAUGCCUAGGAAUCUGCCUGGUAGUGGGGGACAACGUUUCGAAAGGAACGCUAAUACCGCAUACGUCCUACGGGAGAAAGCAGGGGACCUUCGGGCCUUGCGCUAUCAGAUGAGCCUAGGUCGGAUUAGCUAGUUGGUGGGGUAAUGGCUCACCAAGGCGACGAUCCGUAACUGGUCUGAGAGGAUGAUCAGUCACCCUGGAACUGUGACACGGUCCAGACUCCUACGUGAGGCAGCAGUGGGGAAUAUUGGACAAUGGGCGAAAGCCUGAUCCAGCCAUGCCGCGUGUGUGAAGAAGGUCUUCGGAUUGUAAAGCACUUUAAGUUGGGAGGAAGGGCAGUAAGCUAAUACCUUGCUGUUUUGACGUUACCGACAGAAUAAGCACCGGCUAACUCUGUGCCAGCCGCCGCGGUAA